GGCUUCAUAGCUCAGUUGGUAGAGCACUGCAUCGGCAUCGCAGAGGUCAUGGGAUCGAUUCCCGUUAAAGCCC